UACAGAGGUGGCAAGCGUUUGUUCGGAAUUACUGGGCGUAAAGGGCGCGUAGGUGGCCUUUUGAGUCAGACGUGAAAUCCCCCGGCUUAACCUGGGAACUGCGUCUGAUACUGGAAGGCUUGAGUUCGGGAGAGGGAUGUGGAAUUCCAGGUGUAGCGGUGAAAUGCGUAGAUAUCUGGAGGAACACCGGUGGCGAAGGCGGCAUCCUGGACCGAAACUGACACUGAGGCGCGAAAGCCAGGGGAGCAAACGGG
rnacentral:rRNA from 1 species